GCAUAUCAAUAAGCGGAGGAAAAGAAAAUAACAAUGAUUCCCCUAGUAACGGCGAGUGAAGAGGGAUAAGCUCAAAUUUAAAAUCUGUUGGGUUUUACCUAACCGAGUUGUAAUUUGAAGAAGCGUUUUCCGCGUCUCUGUUGGCCCAAAUCCUUUGGGAUAAGGUAUCAUGGAGGGUGAGAAUCCCGUAUGGCCGACAUCAUGACGCUCUACGAUACGUUUUCAAAGAGUCGAGUUGUUUGGGAUUGCAGCUCAAAAUGGGAGGUAAAUUUCUCCUAAGGCUAAAUAUUGGCGAGAGACCGAUAGCGAACAAGUACCGUGAGGGAAAGAUGAAAAGAACUUUGAAAAGAGAGUUAAACAGUACGUGAAAUUGUUGAAAGGGAAACGAUUGAAGUCAGUCGUACCAGCGGGAAAUCAACCUUUCGAGUGGGAUCUUGGAGCUUUAAAGAGUUUCAAAGCCUUUGAGUUUCAAGAUUUCUACUCUUUUGGUGUACUUUCUCGUAGGUAGGUCAACAUCGAUUUUGAACAUCAUAAAAAGAUCGGAGGAAUGUAGCUUCGAUCUCGUAUUGAAGUGUUAUAGCCUUUGGUAAAUGUGAUGUUCAAGAUCGAGGAUUGCAACGAAUAUCCUUUUGGGCUAUUCGUCUGAUCUCUGAUACGUGGCCUUGGUAUCGAAAGCGUGCUUACGGUAUUAAGGUAUUACGGUCAAAAGGUUAGAACGGAUUACAUUCGUUAAGGAUGUUGACGUA
rnacentral:rRNA from 1 species